CACUCGGCUCGCGGGAGGGACCGGCUGGCGGCAGGCAGGGCGCGCGGAGCCCGGGGCUCGGCCGAGACGGAGCGAAAGAGAAACGCAGCUCGUAACUGGCCCUUUAAGAAAACAUUCCGUGCUGGGCGCUCCCGCCCGGGGCCCGCACCCCGGACACUUUAAAAGGACCCAGGUGGCCCCGGAGGCGAGGUGACUAUCCCCCCACCCUGCCCCUGCCUCGCGUCGCGUCGCGCUGCAGCUCCCGCCCCAGCCGGGGCCGAAGACGGGGUGGCGGCUGCGGUUUUCCACGCGACUUCCUCGGAUCUCGGGGCACGCGCGCCGAGAGUUCGGACGCGGGUCCGGGCGGGUUUUGCUGCGUUUUACUGCAUUUUAUGACUAAUUAAAAAGCUUGGCGUUCCCCGUC